CCCUUUUCACACGCAGGUGGGCGGCUGUGCAGGGAUCUCAUAUUUCCCGUGGUGAGUUUUCUGGGGGUGCUGGGCUUUUUUGUAAAUCCCACCGCUGGUGAUCACGCUGGCCGGUUUUCUACGGCUCUUCUUCUUCAACCUACGGCUGCACACCUGCUGCCAGGACUGCAGAGUCUUGGAGGUCCAAAUCCACAUCCCGCUGGUGAUCCCCACGACCAGCAGCAUGAAGAUUUUCACCAUGAAGAUCUCCACGGCGGGGAUGGAGGCGGCCAUCAGGCAGUCCAGCGUUUUAGUCUGGUUGUUCAUUUUGCACUUGUGCUGCGCCGCCAGGAUCUUCCAGUAAUCCAUGUUGAGGCGUUCGUAAAAGUAGCAGGCGAUCACACAGGUGGCCGGCACGGUGUACAGCACAGAGAAGAGCCCGAUACGCACCAUCAGCUUCUCCAGCUUGUCCGUGUUCUCGCCACCCGUCUUCAUCACCCUCCGGAUGUGGAACAGGGCCACGAAGCCCGAGAGGAUGAAGGACGUGCCGAUGACCAGGUAGCAGGCCAGGGGGAUGAGCACGAAGCCGGUGAGCGCGUUGACGUCCAUGCUGCCCACGUAGCAGACCCCGGUGAGCUCGUCCCCCGCCACCCUGCGCAUGACCAGGAUCAGGAUGGUCUUCACCGCCGGGAUGGCCCAGGCUGCCAGGUGGAAGUAGCUGCUGUUGGCUUCGAUGGCCUCGUGGCCCCACUUCUUGCCGGCGGCCAGGAACCAGGUGAGGGUGAGGACCACCCACCACAGCGAGCUGGCCAUGCCGAAGUAGUAGAGGACCAGGAAGACCAGCGUGCAGCCAGUGCUCUCCAGCCCCUCCUGGAUGACAUAGAGCUGGCCGCUGUCCCGGUCGCAGGCGAUGCUCUCGGCGCCGGCGAAGAGGCGGAUGAGGUAGCCCACGGAGUAGACGCAGUAGCACAUGGAGAGGAAGAUGAUAGGGCGCUCGGGGUAGCGGAAGCGGGCCGGGUCGAUGAGGAAGGUGAGCACGGUGAAGGCGCUGGAGAAGAAGCACAGCACCGCCCAGAUGGCCAGCCAGACCACGGCGAAGCGCUUGUCCUCGCGGCUCCAGUACACGUCCACGCCGGGCGUGCAGAGCGGCGCGCACGACGCGCUCUUCUCCACGUGGUGGAACUUGCCCGGGUUGUCGCAGCCGCCGCGCCCGGGCCCCCGUCCUUCAGCGGGUGCUCCUGCGCGCUGUGGGGCCGCUGCGGCCGGAACAGCGGCGGGAACAGGCCCGAGCCCCGGGUGGGUUCGUCCGAGCCGUUGUUGGGCGCCUCCAUGCACAGGUAG
rnacentral:lncRNA from 1 species